GCAGCGAAAUAGCUCAGUUGGGAGAGCAUUAGACCUAAAUCCCUGGUUUGAUCCUGGGUUUCGGCA